CGAGGAUGAGCUUUGGAGCUCUUUCUGACUGUGAUAAAAUCAAGAACUCUUUAAGAGGUAUACUGAAGCAUAAUUAUUUGUAAUGAAAUAGCCGAAUAAUAAAAAUGGUAAAAAAAAUUCAGGAAAAAAAAUAGUAUUAAAAGGGAAUAAAAAAAUAAUUUCAAAAAAAAUAAAAUGAAUAAUAGGUGUUUAUAGAGAAAUUGGGGCACAUGGCCGUGGGACACGCCCGUGUACUCUAAGCUCAGCUCGUGCGUUUUGUAAUUUUUGAAAUUAGGUGCAUUGGUG
rnacentral:lncRNA from 1 species